rnacentral:rRNA from 1 species
AUACGUAGGUGGCGAGCGUUGUCCGGAAUUACUGGGCGUAAAGGGCGUGUAGGCGGGGGGUCAAGUCAGAUGUGAAAUACCGUGGCUUAACUGCGGGGCUGCAUCUGAAACUGGUCUUCUUGAGUGUCGGAGAGGAAAGUGGAAUUCCCAGUGUAGCGGUGAAAUGCGUAGAGAUUGGGAGGAACACCAGUGGCGAAGGCGGCUUUCUGGACGAUAACUGACGCUGAGGCGCGAAAGCGUGGGGAGCAAACAGGAUUAGAUACCCUGGUAGUCCACGCUGUAAACGAUGGAUACUAGGUGUAGGAGGUAUCGACCCCUUCUGUGCCGGAGUUAACACAAUAAGUAUCCCGCCUGGGGAGUACGGCCGCAAGGCUGAA